AUUGAACGCUGGCGGCAGGCCUAACACAUGCAAGUCGAGCGGCAGCGGGACCUUCGGGUUGCCGGCGAGCGGCGGACGGGUGAGUAAUGCCUAGGAAUCUGCCUGUUAGUGGGGGAUAACGCGGGGAAACUCGCGCUAAUACCGCAUACGUCCUACGGGAGAAAGCGGGGGCUCUUCGGACCUCGCGCUAACAGAUGAGCCUAGGUCGGAUUAGCUAGUUGGUGGGGUAAUGGCCCACCAAGGCGACGAUCCGUAACUGGUCUGAGAGGAUGAUCAGUGACACUGGAACUGAGACACGGUCCAGACUCCUACGGGAGGCAGCAGUGGGGAAUAUUGGACAAUGGGCGAAAGCCUGAUCCAGCCAUGCCGCGUGUGUGAAGAAGGUCUUCGGAUUGUAAAGCACUUUAAGUCGGGAGGAAGGGCUGUAGGCUAAUACCUUGCAGUUUUGACGUUACCGACAGAAUAAGCACCGGCUAACUUCGUGCCAGCAGCCGCAGUAACAC
rnacentral:rRNA from 1 species